UACGGGGGGGGCAAGCGUUGUUCGGAAUUACUGGGCGUAAAGGGCUCGUAGGCGGCCAACUAAGUCGGACGUGAAAUCCCCAGGCUCAACCUGGGAACUGCGUCCGAUACUGGGGGGCUUGAAUCCGGGAGAGGGAUGUGGAAUUCCAGGUGUAGCGGUGAAAUGCGUAGAUAUCUGGAGGAACACCGGUGGCGAAGGCGGCAUCCUGGACCGGUAUUGACGCUGAGGCGCGAAAGCCAGGGGAGCAAACGGG
rnacentral:rRNA from 1 species